AACUGUCAGUGCUACGCUAACAGUUGGGCUAGAUGAUCUUCAGCAUCCUUUCCAACCUAGAUGAUUCUGUGAACUUACAAAUCUCAACCUUUUAAGAAGUUUGGCCAUAACCCACACAACACACUGCUGUAUUUGGAAAUCUUUUUCAAGCUAAUGAUACCUCCUCAACAAGGAUGGCAUCCACUUUAUCAAAAUACGUUGAUUGCAAAAUGCAAUAGAAAGCAGAAAUAGUCAAUCUGACUGUACAGCCAUGAAAAAAAGAAUCACUCCUGCACAUACAGCACCUGCAGGUAGUGCUUGUGACUGCUGCAACACACUGAGUUUUAAUUUGGUUGGAACGGUAUUUUCAACAGACCCUAUGGAAUACAUCUGAACUGUACAUUAUAUCACCAGGCAGGGCUGUUCAUAUUCUUCCUAUCUGAUGUUCAAAUGACAUCAGGUUUACUACUCACUAAUGUAUGCUUCUAAAUAUCCAUGUGGUAAUAAAUAUGGCACUACUUUAGACUACAGUGUAAUAGAACAUCUUGCAGUCAUCUGUAAUGUUCUGUGGAUCACUAUGGAUCUGUACAUAUUUUAUGCUUAUAUUUAAAAAAAAAAAAUAGACUAGUUAUUUUCCAAUUAAAUAUCACAGCCCAAAUGUGCAACAUAAAAAUACUGUGUGAUAUUUAGCUUUUUUGUCGUAUAUGCUCGCCUCUUUUUACUAAACCUGGAGGUUACACACAAGUACUAAGAGGACACAACUUACGUGUUUCAGUACAAGAUCUUCGUUUCCACAACCUCGUCUUUGAUCCUGCAAUGCAGUCAAAAUGUAGACUGUGUAACAUCUGAUUAUAGUCAUCAUUUCCCUAGCAACAGACUGAUAUCCUCAAUACAUUAUACAGUAUACUUCAGGAAACAGGGCAUGCUGUAAGAAAAAGAUGGAUGACUUAACAGGUCUUUUUCAUCUAUAAUUCUCACCUAGGAAAAGAAUUAAGAACUCUGUCUGGACAGAAACACAUUUUCAUUUUGUUUGGAAGUGCAAACACCAAUGCCAUAUAAUAAUAAUGAUCCUAUGGAAAUUGCUACCACUGUGGUGGUUUUAUGGAGCCCUCCUCCCAAAAAAAUUAAAAAAUGCAACCACCCAGAUUAGUAACCGAUAAAUAGGACACGGACACCUCCUGGUGGCACUGGGUAGUAUUUUAAAUUAGAAGGAUUAGAAAUUAAACUGACCUAUAGAAACAAAGGUCCAAACGGUGAAUCUGGGAUGAUUAAGGUGUUGAGAAAAUUCUUUGGAAAUUAUGAGAGCAAAGUAUUGUAAACACAUAUUUUGCAUGAUUGAAUUACAGCCUUAGCUUUUGUCCUUAAUCUUUUAAAACACUGUUUUUCAGAGCUUCCCCAAGAUGUGCAUCCACACCCAAGUAAGAUCAUAACUACUGGAAAUAAAACUGUGGUUUUAAAGUAAGCCUUGCAGCUGCUUCCAGUAGAAGAUCUGAAAUCAGAAAUGCAACUCUGAUUCUCCUUGUAUUCAUACAAAUUCA